rnacentral:rRNA from 1 species
GAUGAACGCUGGCGGCGUGCCUAACACAUGCAAGUCGAACGGGAGCUCCUGGAUUCGUCUGGGGGCGAGAGUGGCGAACGGGUGAGUAAUACGUGGGUGACCUGCCCCAAAGAGGGGAAUAACUGCUGGAAACGGUGGCUAAUACCCCAUGUGCUCGGUGGUUCGGUCCAUCGAGUAAAGCUUAGGCGCUUUGGGAGGGGCCUGCGGCCCAUCAGGUAGUUGGUAGGGUAAUGGCCUACCAAGCCGAUGACGGGUAGGGGACGUGAGAGCGUGAACCCCCACACUGGCACUGAGAUACGGGCCAGACUCCUACGGGAGGCAG